GACAGAGGUCCCGAGCGUUAGGCGGAAUCACUGGGCUUAAAGCGUGUGUAGGCGGAUCGUUAAGUGCCUUGUGAAAUCCCAUGGCUUAACCAUGGAACUGCUUGGCAUACUGGCGAUCUUGAGCCACUUAGGGGCAACCGGAACAAAUGGUGGAGCGGUGAAAUGCGUAGAUAUCGAGAGGAACACCUGCGGCGAAGGCGGGUUGCUGGGCUGACACUGACGCUGAGGCGCGAAAGCUAGGGGAGCGAACGGG
rnacentral:rRNA from 1 species